AACGUACGCUGGCGGCACGCCUAACACAUGCAAGUCGAACGCAGUAGCAAUACUGAGCGGCAGACGGGUGAGUAACAUGUGGGAAUCUGCCUUGUGGGUCAGGACAACAUUGGGAAACCGAUGCUUAUACAGGAUAAGCCCUUACGGGGAAAGUUUUAAUGCCAUAAGAUGAGCCCGCAUUUGAUUAGUUAGUUGGUGAGGAAAUGGCUAACCAAGACAAUGAUCGAUAGCUGAUCGGAGAGGAUGAUCAGCAACACUGGGACUGAGACACGGACCAGACUCAUGCGGGAGACAGCAGUGGGGAAUCUUGCACAAUGGAGGAUACUCUGAUGCAGCGAUGCCGCGUGAGUGAAGAAGGCCUUUGGGUUGUAAAGCUCUUUUGUAGGGGAAGAUAAUGACUGUACCCUAAGAAUAAGGUCCGGCUAACUUCGUGCCAGCCGCCGCCGUAA
rnacentral:rRNA from 1 species